AACGAACGCUGGCGGCAGGCCUAACACAUGCAAGUCGAACGGGACCUUCGGGUCUAGUGGCGGACGGGUGAGUAACGCGUGGGAACGUGCCCUUUGGUUCGGAAUAGCCCCGGGAAACUGGGAGUAAUACCGGAUAAGCCCUACGGGGGAAAGAUUUAUCGCCAAAGGAUCGGCCCGCGUUGGAUUAGGUAGUUGGUGAGGUAAUGGCUCACCAAGCCGACGAUCCAUAGCUGGUUUGAGAGGAUGAUUAGCCACACUGGGACUGAGACACGGUCCAGACUCCUACGGGAGGCAGCAGUGGGGAAGCUUAGACAAUGGGGGAAACCCUGAUCUAGCCGUGCCGCGUGAUAGAUGAAGGCCGUAGGGUUGUAAAGAUCUUUCAGUGGGGAAGAUAAUGACUGUACCCACAGAAGAAGCCACGGCUAACUCCGUGCCAGCCGCAGCCGUAAUAC
rnacentral:rRNA from 1 species